AAACGUAGGGGGCAAGCGUUAUCCGGAAUUACUGGGCGUAAAGCGCAUGUAGGCGGUUUGCUAAGAUAGCCGUGAAAGCUCCCGGCUUAACUGGGAGAGGUCGGUUGUGACUGGCAAACUUGAGUAGGGUAGAGGAGAGCGGAAUUCCCGGUGUAGUGGUGGAAUGCGUAGAGAUCGGGAGGAACACCAGUGGCGAAAGCGGCUCUCUGGACGAUGACUGACGCUGAGACGCGAAAGCGUGGGGAGCAAACAGGAUUAGAAACCCCGGUAGUCC
rnacentral:rRNA from 1 species